rnacentral:rRNA from 1 species
ACUGCUCAGUAACACGUAGCUAACCUACCCUUAGGUUAGGGAUACCCUCGGGAAACUGAGGUUAAUACCUAAUAGAAGUGAGACCCUGGAACGAACUCACUUUCAAACUCGCGCCUAAGGAUGGGGCUACGGCGGAUUAGGUUGUUGGCGGGGUAAUGGCCCACCAAGCCGUUGAUCCGUAAGGGCUCUUAGCGGAGGGGCCCUGAGAGGGAAUCUGAGACACUAUUCCCAGCCCUACGGGGUGCAGCAGUUAGGCAUAAUCUGCAAUGCGCGAAAGCGUGACAGUUUGAGCCAGAGUGUCUACUCUUAGUAGACUUUUGUGGAAUGUAAAAAGUUCUACGAAUAAGGACUGGGUAAGACUAGUGCCAGCCGCCGCGGUAAUACUAGCGGUCCAAGUCGCAGCCACUUUUAUUGGGUCUAAAACAUCCGUAGCUUGCCUAAUAAGUCUCUUGUGAAAUCUUAUGUCUUAAGCAUGAGGCGUGCAGGAGGUACUGUUAGGCUAGAGACUGGGAGACGUAGGAAGUACGUUCGGGGUAGCGGUAAAAUGUGUUAAUCCCAAAUGGACUCACAAUAGCGAAGGCAUCCUACGAGAACAGUUCUGACAGUCAGGGAUGAAGGCUAGGGGCGCAAAACGGAUUAGAUACCCGUGUAGUCCUAGCAGUAAACACUGCUCACUAAACAUCGGGACCUCCUCGAGAGGUUUCGGUGCUGCAGCGAAGGCGAAGAGUGAGCUACCUGGGAAGUAUAGGCGCAAGCCCGAAACUUAAAGGAAUUGGCGGGGGAGCAC